rnacentral:rRNA from 1 species
GCUUGUCUCAAAGAUUAAGCCAUGCAUGUCUAAGUAUAACUCUUUUACUUUGAAAACUGCGAACGGCUCAUUAUAUCAGUUAUAGUUUCUUUGAUAGUCCCUUACUACUUGGAUACCCGUAGUAAUUCUAGAGCUAAUACAUGCAUGAACCCCCGACUUUUGAAGGGGUGUAUUUAUUAGAUUGAAACCAAUGCGGGUUCCCCGGUAUUUGGUGAUUCAUAAUAACUUUCGGAUCGACUUCGGUCGAUGCAUCAUUCAAGUUUCUGCCCUAUCAGCUUUGGAUGGUAGGGUAUUGGCCUACCAUGGCUUUAACGGGUAACGGAGAAUUAGGGUUCGAUUCCGGAGAGGGAGCCUGAGAAAUGGCUACCACAUCCAAGGAAGGCAGCAGG